AUUGAACGCUGGCGGUAUGCCUUACACAUGCAAGUCGAACGGCAGCACGGUUAGUGGCUGCUGUUACGGAGUGCCGGUCGCGUGCGUGAGACAUCUGCAUCUGACCUUACGUUGUCGUUAGGGCUGAGGUAGGGGGACUAACACCACUAACGCUUACCGCCUAAGGGUGAAAGCCGUGGAGCUUUGGACCUUGCGCGAUUGCAUGAGGCGAUGUCGGAUUAGCUAGUUGGUGGGGUAAAGGCCGACCAAGGCGACGAUCAGUAGCUGGUCUGAGAGGACGACCAGCCACACUGGGACUGAGACACGGCCCAGACUCCUACGGGAGGCAGCAGUGGGGAAUUUUGGACAAUGGGCGAAAGCCUGAUCCAGCAAUGCCGCGUGUGUGAAGAAGGCCUUCGGGUUGUAAAGCACUUUUGUCCGGAAAGAAAUACUUGGCCCUAAUACGGUCGGGGGAUGACGGUACCGGAAGAAUAAGCACCGGCUAACUACGUG
rnacentral:rRNA from 1 species